rnacentral:rRNA from 1 species
AAGAGGUAGCAAUACCUUUGUCGGCGACCGGCGCACGGGUGAGUAACACGUAUGCAAUCCACCUGUAACAGGGGGAUAACCCGGAGAAAUCCGGACUAAUACCCCAUAAUAUGGACACUCCGCAUGGAGAGUUCAUUAAAGAGAGCAAUUUUGGUUACAGACGAGCAUGCGCUCCAUUAGCCAGUUGGCGGGGUAACGGCCCACCAAGGCGACGAUCAGUAGCCGGACUGAGAGGUUGACCGGCCACAUUGGGACUGAGAUACGGCCCAGACUCC